rnacentral:rRNA from 1 species
CAGCAGUGGGGAAUCUUGCGCAAUGGGCGGAAGCCUGACGCAGCGACGCCGCGUGCGGGACGAAGGCCUUCGGGUCGUAAACCGCUUUCAGCAGGGACGAGGCCCUCACGGUGACGGUACCUGCAGAAGAAGCCCCGGCUAACUACGUGCC